UACGUAGGGCGCAAGCGUUAUCCGGAAUUAUUGGGCGUAAAGAGCGUGUAGGCGGUCCGGUAAGUCCGCUGUGAAAGUCGGGGGCUCAACCCUCGAAUGCCGGUGGAUACUGCCGUGACUAGAGUUCGGUAGAGGAGUGUGGAAUUCCUGGUGGAGCGGUGAAAUGCGCAGAGAUCAGGAGGAACACCGAUGGCGAAGGCAGAUCUCUGGGCCGUUACUGACGCUGAGGAGCGAAAGCGUGGGGGAGCGAACAGG
rnacentral:rRNA from 1 species